UACGACUAUAUCACGUCGAAAUACCGGUUCCUGUACGGUCACCGAAGUUAAGGAGUGUCAAGCCUGGUCAGUACCUAGAUUAGUGACCGCUUGGGAAAAUCAGGUGCCGUAAA